CAGGUGCAUGCCUCUAGCAUGAAGUCAGACAAGU
rnacentral:rRNA from 1 species